rnacentral:rRNA from 1 species
GGGGAAUAUUGCACAAUGGGGGAAACCCUGAUGCAGCGACGCCGCGUGAGUGAAGAAGUAUUUCGGUAUGUAAAGCUCUAUCAGCAGGGAAGAAAAUGACGGUACCUGACUAAGAAGCCCCGGCUAACUACGUGCCAGCAGCCGCGGUAAUACGUAGGGGGCAAGCGUUAUCCGGAUUUACUGGGUAUAAAGGGAGCGUAGGUGGUGUGGUAAGUCAGAUGUGAAAGCCCAGGGCUCAACUCUGGGAUUGCAUUUGAAACUAUCAUGCUAGAGUGCAGGAGAGGUAAGUGGAAUUCCUAGUGUAGCGGUGAAAUGCGUAGAUAUUAGGAGGAACACCAGUGGCGAAGGCGGCUUACUGGACUGUAACUGACACUGAGGCUCGAAAGCGUGGGUAGCGAAC